AAUGCCCUAAUAGUUCCCCGCCCGGGAACAAGGAGCCGAUAUCAGGCACAUAUAAAUAAGCCCACAACAUCUUGCUCAGCCACACCCCCAAGGGAACCCAGCAGUGAUAAACAUUAAGCCAUGAGUGAAAACUCGACUUAGUUAAAGCUAUAAAGGGCCGGUAAAACUCGUGCCAGCCACCGCGGUUAUACGAGAGACCCAAGUUGAUAAGGUACGGCGUAAAGAGUGGUUAAGAUUGACUAAAAACUAAAGCCGAAUGCCCUCAAAGCUGUUAUACGCCCCCGAAGGUAAGAAGACCAACCACGAAAGUGACUUUACACUACUGAACCCACGAAAGCUAGGUUACAAACUGGGAUUAGAUACCCCACUAUGCCUAGCCUUAAACAUUGAUGGUACAAUACAACCACCAUCCGCCUGGAUACUACGAGCACCAGCUUGAAACCCAAAGGACUUGGCGGUGCUUUAGAUCCACCUAGAGGAGCCUGUUCUAGAACCGAUAACCCCCGUUUAACCUCACCCCUCCUUGCUCUUCCC
rnacentral:rRNA from 1 species